rnacentral:lncRNA from 1 species
CGGGAAUCAAGCCGGCGCGGAAAACCGCAAGGCCUCCUUCUCCUGGGACCCCCCUGGGCCCCACCCCCAGGACCUCCCACCUCUGCACGCCCUGAGUUCGCUUUUCCCAAUGCACUGGGCAGCUUGACUCCACGCCCACCUGACUGGACUGAGAAAACCGAAGAAGUUGGUGAGGGUACAGCAAUAAAUAGGUAUGAGGGAGAGCCUGGAGGAAGAAAUGGGGAAGGGGGAUGUGUUCAGAAGGAAUGGAGGAGAGUGGGCAGGGUAUUCGGGGAUGGAGGACGAAGUAUGUUUCUUUGGGAAGUGCUGACAUGUAGGAAAGUGUGUUGUGUACAUGUAUGAAGGGUAUGCAUAGAAUGUAUAUAGUAUGGGGUAUGUGAGGGUGGUGUGCCCUUAUAUGUUUUGUGGCGGGGAGCGGGGAGCAUUCCAAGAUGUGCGUAGGGUGAACACAGAGUAUGGGCAAUGUCCAAGCGUGGUGUGUGUGUGUGUGUGUGUGUGGUGAAUGUGCAAGAAAAGGUGUUGCCUUGAGGCGUGGGUAGAGUAUUGUAGGGAUUGUGAAUAGGGUAUACGGGAGAAUUGGCCUGAGAUUUCUCUCAGAGGACCAGCCAUGGAGCAAGGCCAGGAUGAAGUAAGUCUUGGGGAGAAAACCUCAGGUGAGUUCAGCUUUGAGUCCAGUUCUGUUUUCAGAUCUGGCAGUCACACUCAAGUGAAUAAAUUCUGCCUGCGCUAGAGUGCGCGAGAAGGGAAAAUGCUGUAGUAGCCCAAAUCUGGACUUGGACCACUGGAGGCCUCCCGCCGGCAACCUCGCUCUGGUCCGCAGUCCCGGGUGUGGGUGAUUUUAGGCCGCCUGCGCAGCAG